GCCUGGGUGGCUCAGUUGGUUAAGCGUCUGACUUCGGCUCAGGUCAUGAUCUCACAGUUUGUGAGUUCAAGCCCCGCGUCGGGCU
rnacentral:tRNA from 1 species